rnacentral:rRNA from 1 species
CCCUUAGAUGUUCUGGGCCGCACGCGCGCUACACUGAUGCAUUCAACGAGUGUACCUUGGCCGAGAGGCCUGGGCAAUCUUUUGAACGUGCAUCGUGAUAGGGAUAGAUUAUUGCAAUUAUUAAUCUUGAACGAGGAAUUCCUAGUAAACGCAGUUCAUCAAACUGCAUUGAUUACGUCCCUGCCCUUUGUACACACCGCCCGUCGCUCCUACCGAUUGAGUGCUCAGGUGAAUAAUUCGGACUGCAGCAAUGUUUGGAUCCCGAACGUUGCAGCGGAAAGUUUAGUGAACCUUAUCACUUAGAGGAAGGAGAAGUCGUAACA